rnacentral:rRNA from 1 species
UACGGAGGGUGCAAGCGUUAUCCGGAAUCACUGGGUUUAAAGGGUGCGUAGGCGGCUAAAUAAGUCAGAGGUGAAAGCUUGCAGCUUAACUGCGAAAUUGUCUUUGAUACUGUAUAGCUGGAAAGGAGCUGAGGUCAGCAGAAUGUGGCAUGUAGCGGUGAAAUGCAUAGAUAUGCCAUAGAAUACCAAUUGCGAAGGCAGCUGGCUGGGCUCACUUUGACGCUGAGGCACGAAAGCGUGGGGAUCGAACAGG